rnacentral:rRNA from 1 species
UACGGGGGGGGCAAGCGUUGUUCGGAAUUACUGGGCGUAAGGGGCGCGUAGGCGGCCCUCUAAGUCAGACGUGAAAUCCCUCGGCUCAACCGGGGAACUGCGUCUGAUACUGGAGGGCUUGAAUCCGGGAGAGGGAUGUGGAAUUCCAGGUGUAGCGGUGAAAUGCGUAGAUAUCUGGAGGAACACCGGUGGCGAAGGCGGCAUCCUGGACCGGUAUUGACGCUGAGGCGCGAAAGCUAGGGGAGCAAACGGG